CGGUUGGGAGGGCUGCAUUUGCGGUCCGUUGGCGCAAGCCACCCGGCUG
rnacentral:ncRNA from 1 species